rnacentral:rRNA from 1 species
UACGAAGGGGGCUAGCGUUGCUCGGAAUCACUGGGCGUAAAGCGCACGUAGGCGGCUUUCUAAGUCAGGGGUGAAAUCCUGGAGCUCAACUCCAGAACUGCCUUUGAUACUGGAGAGCUUGAGUCCGGAAGAGGUGAGUGGAACUCCGAGUGUAGAGGUGAAAUUCGUAGAUAUUCGGAAGUGAACACCAGUGGCGAAGGCGGCUCACUGUGCCGGUACUGACGCUGAGGUGCGAAAGCGUGGGGAGCAAACAGG